GGGAUGUUGGUGUUGGAGGAGUUUGCUGGGAUGUCUGUAUAUCUCUUUCCAGGAUUGAAGAGGCCAAAGGUCAUCCACAGAAUUUCUUCAUGCCACAGAAUCUGUUUCUUCACGAGCAAUUGGUUAAGAUUUCCAGAGAACCUACUGGAAUAGCUCCCACUGAAUUCAGUGUGUACAAGAUCAGACUUGCUGGGCUGUUUGUUCCAGGGCAUAGAAUACUUCUGCUUCUGAGAUUUCCUGAGUGUUUGCUUGCUCUACCCAUACCUCAGCUGAUGACAUCAGUGGCUCUGCAGACACAUCCUGUCUCUUCUUUCAUCUUCUUGGUGCUAGCCUGGUUGCUUCUACAGAGUACAAACUUCAUAAGAAUGCUUUACAGAGAAGGCAGGAAACAAGAGAGUUAUGACACUGGAAAUGGCCUAUUGUUUCUUCUCUGGCAAAUUCCCUCCAGACAGCAGUUCUGGGAAUCAGCUUUUUGUGAAGUUGUUGUUGCGAGAUGUAUUGGUGGUAUAUGCCAUGGCGAAUUUGCCAGGCAGAGAGACAAUCCCUUGGGGAAAAGAGCAAAGAAGCACACUAAGCUGUCUCCAGAAGCAAACCUUUAG
rnacentral:lncRNA from 1 species